GCCCAGACUCCUACGGAGGCAGCAGUGGGGAAUAUUGGGCAAUGGGCGCAAGCCUGACCCAGCAACGCCGCGUGAAGGAAGAAGGCUUUCGGGUUGUAAACUUCUUUUAAGAGGGAAGAGUAGAAGACGGUACCUCUUGAAUAAGCCACGGCUAACUACGUGCCAGCAGCCGCGGUAAUACGUAGGUGGCAAGCGUUAUCCGGAUUUACUGGGUGUAAAGGGCGUGUAGGCGGGAGAGCAAGUCAGACGUGAAAUUCCAGGGCUCAACCCUGGAACUGCGUUUGAAACUGUUCUUCUUGAGUGAUGGAGAGGCAGGCGGAAUUCCGUGUGUAGCGGUGAAAUGCGUAGAUAUACGGAGGAACACCAGUGGCGAAGGCGGAUUGCUGGACAGUAACUGACGCUGAGGCGCGAAAGCGUGGGGAGCAAACAGGAUUAGAUACCCGAGUAU
rnacentral:rRNA from 1 species